rnacentral:rRNA from 1 species
UGGCGGACGGGUGAGUAACGCGUGGAAAACCUGCCGUAUACUGGGGGAUAACACUUAGAAAUAGGUGCUAAUACCGCAUAANCGCACAGCUUCGCAUGAAGCGGUGUGAAAAACUCUGGUGGUAUACGAUGGUUCCGCGUCUGAUUAGCUAGUUGGUGGGGUAAUGGCCUACCAAGGCAACGAUCAGUAGCCGGCCUGAGAGGGUGAACGGCCACAUUGGGACUGAGACACGGCCCAAACUCCUACGGAAGGCAGCAG